CUGGCUAUUUCUUCAUCUAUGCUUUACUUCGCUUCCCUUCCUCUUGCUCUGCAAAAGAAGCAAAUCUCUUGUUGCUAGCUGCCUUCUCCUCGUCCAUGGCGUGCAUCAACAUAAACAUCAACAUUGACGUCAACAGAUGCCUGAGCGAGCUGCGGACAUUGCUGAAAUUACUGCUCAGGCCAAAAUCUGGCAUCCAGAAAUUGGAAAAGGAAAUGGCAAUAUUGAGAGGCAAAAGGGACGACAUCAUGAACCAGAUCGACCUGGCGGAGCGCGAGGGGCAAAUUCCGACCCACGAAUGGAUCCUGUGGUUACAUAAGAUGGAGGAAUUGGAAGGCCAAGUGGCCGCUAUCGAGCAGGAUUUCCAAAGCAUGAGUUGCUUCAGUUGUCAUUGCUUCAAUCGAGCUGGCGGCACGUCGAGUCAAACACAGCAAGCAAAGUCAUCGAACUUCUAUUCCAUCAUUCGAAGAAUGGCUAACACACUCGACGAGGCUAAUGAAUUGAUGAGCCUAACUGGUGCACUGGUUCCGAUUGCCGGAUUUUGGCCUUGGAGAUUCACCACGAGGCUUCCCAUCCCACACCUACCACCUGUUGGGAUUGAGUCGUAUUUGGAUGACAUUGUGGGCUACAUCAAUGGUGGAGAAGGCAGCACCAUAGGCAUCUACGGAAUGGGUGGUGUCGGUAAGACCACCAUUCUGAUGAGCAUCCAACAGCACUACUAUCUUCUUGAGGAUACCAUAUUUGAUCGUGUCAUUUGGGUUGUGGCCUCCCACUGUCAAUUGAAAAGGCUCCAGAUGGAUAUUGCUAUGAGUCUAGGACUGAAGACACUGAAGGAGAGUGAUGAUGAACAAACUUGUGGUGAUAAGCUGUUUAGCUAUUUGAAGAACAAGUCCUGUUUGCUGCUUCUUGAUGACAUUUGGGAACAUCUGGAUCUUCAACUGUCGGGGAUGACACACUUGGCCACUGAGCAAAGCCAGCAGCAGCAGCAGCAGCAGAAGCAGCCGCGCAAAGUAGUGGUGUUCACAACCCGCAGCGAGACAAUGUGUGCACAAAUGAAUGCAGAAAAGAAGAUCAAAGUCGAAUGUCUGAAUCCAGAUCAAGCAUGGCAACUCUUUGAGCAGAACAGUGAUGGGGAUGUUCUCAGCUCAGAUGCUCAAAUUAAGUUAGCUGCUAAAGAACUUGUUAAAGAAUGUGGAGGACUUCCACUCGCUCUUAUCACCACCGCUAAGGCUAUGUCAGGGAAAAAGUCUUGGGAAGUUUGGUAUGAUACUCUUUAUAUGAUAAGGGAUAAACAUGAGUCGAUACCCAUUGGUCUUCCAAAAGAAUCACUCCCUAUGUAUAAAUCCUUCAAGUUGAGGUAUGACAGUUUAGAAAAUGACUUGAUAAGAGAAUGCCUUUUGUGUUGCGUUUUGUGGCCUAAAGAUUAUGACAUCCACAAAUUUGAUGAGUUGAUACCGUGUUGGAUUGGUUGCGGCAUAAUCAAUAAAUUUAAUGUAAUCAAUGAAGCUUUCCACGAAGGAUGCUGCCAUUUGGAAACUCUCAUAGCUGCAUCCUUGCUAGAGGACUCUAGACGGCAGAAUUAUUACAAAGCUGAACAUGUAAAGAUGCCUAACACCAUCCGAGACAUGGCACUAUUGAUGGUCUCUGAGUUGAAGGGAAAUGGAAGGAAAUGGAUUGUAAAAGCUGGAAUUGAAUUGAGCCAUCUGCCUAGACAAGAGGAGCGGCAAGAAGCAGAGCGAGCAUCAUUCAUGAGGAAUAAUAUUACAUCUUUACAAGACUAUGAAGCUUCCACUCUUUCAAAACUUUGUAUUUUGAUUCUCCAUGGUAACCAUCUGUCAAAGAUUCCUCCAACUCUGCUCACAAACAUGCCUCUUUUAACAUACUUGAGUCUCUCUCGCAAUUUUGGUAUAGAAGAGCUUCCAAAGGAGAUUGGUAGCUUAACUAAGCUUCAAUAUUUAAACUUGUCCUCCACUGAUAUUAAAAGUCUGCCGCUCGAGUUUGGUCGCCUAAAAAAAUUAGAGUAUUUGCUCCUCAGGAAUACUAGAAUUAAGACUAUACCCAAUGAGAUAAUGUCCAAUUUAUCAAUGCUCAAGUGGCUGGAUAUAGGAGGAUAUUUUCCUGUAUGUGACUCGUGGUUGAAUGAGCUGAAAUGUUUAAGAGAAGAACACCACAAAAUCAGUCUAGGAAUUACCAUUAAUCCAGCUAUCUUUGAAAUAUUGAACAUGUUACCAAAUGUCUCCGUAUGGAACCUCACUGUGAGUGGAUCGGAAAGUUCAAAAUUUUCAGUUCACAAUCUGGGCACUUUAAAAUGGAGUCAUAGAAUAAGUGACAACCUUGAGUGUCUAACUAUUUUAGAUGUCCCGGGAGACGAAUUAGCAAUAAAUGCAGGUGUGGACUAUGAAUCAAGUUUCGGAUGUUUGAAAACUCUCUAUUUUAGAAGACUAGGAAAAUUGAAAAACAUUCGAUGGAAUGGAGUUGGGUUCAACAAUCUUCACGACCUAUACAUUUCUGAUUGCUACAUGUUGAAGGAUGUUUCUUGGGUUCUGCAAUUGCCUUGCCUUGAUUUUCUACGCAUAUCAAAUUGUUGGGAAAUGGAGGAACUAAUCAGUAAUGUUGGGAACUUCAAUUCAAGCUUUGGCAUCAAGAUGUUGAUUUUGUUUCAAAUGAAUAAUCUGCAUCGCAUUUCACAUCAACCACUCCAUUUUCCCAACUUGAAGAACAUAAACGUGUGCCAUUGCCCCAGGCUAAAAAAAUUACCAUUUGGGACUGGAAUAUUGAGGAGUGGAUUAAAAGAGAUUAUAGGUGAUCAAACUUGGUGGGACAGCUUGGUUUGGGAUGACAACAGCAAUAGAGAUUCCCUCACCACUUUGUUUAGGAAUCAACUUGACUAGCUCGAUUAUUGUGUCUGUUAACAACUUUAAAGACAAGUUGAAUCUCUCGUCUCGGCUCAGAUUGAAGACUAAUUUCACGAAGAAACUUGGGCAUUUGGAGCAUGAAGAUAAUUACCCGUAAAGGCCAGAUCCUAUAUUGGUCGAACUCGCUCAACAAAACUGCUUUGCGAGCGACAUAAUCGAAAGGAGAGACAAGGUUUGGAAGAAACACGGAAGUGGAAUUUGGCGUCGAGGAAGCUGGAAGUGAAUUAUGGCAUCUUCAGGCCAGUUCGAUGUUGUCUCCUUGCUCGUAAUAGCAUUGGGCAAGAGGGGCAUUAUGGAGAAGGCGCAUAGGUGGAGGGAGAUCUCAGCAUAUUUUUUGUGGAGAGCUAGCAACUUUGUAAGACUGCUCUCAGCAUAGUUUAUCACGAUAUUGCUGAUCUGAGAUCAAUUUUGUUAGAAACAAGAGCAAAGUUUAUGUUACAAGGAGGAUAUUACGAAAUCGUCGAGCAACUUUGUAGCACUGCUUUCAGCAUUUUGGAGGGGGUGGAUCAUCCAUGACCAGGAACACCCUCAAACAUGUGUUACUCGACUCUUGUUGUGAGAUUUAUAUCUGUAAAUCAUUGCAAGCCACA